GGGGAAUCUUGCACAAUGGGCGAAAGCCUGAUGCAGCCAUGCCGCGUGAAUGAUGAAGGCCUUAGGGUUGUAAAAUUCUUUCGCCAGGGAUGAUAAUGACAGUACCUGGUAAAGAAGCCCCGGCUAACUUCGUGCCAGCAGCCGCGGUAAUACGAAGGGGGCUAGCGUUGUUCGGAAUUACUGGGCGUAAAGCGCACGUAGGCGGACUUUUAAGUCAGAUGUGAAAUCCCGGGGCUCAACCUCGGAACUGCAUUUGAAACUGGAAGUCUAGAGACCAGGAGAGGUUAGCGGAAUACCGAGUGUAGAGGUGAAAUUCGUAGAUAUUCGGUGGAACACCAGUGGCGAAGGCGGCUAACUGGACUGGUACUGACGCUGAGGUGCGAAAGUGUGGGGAGCAAACAGG
rnacentral:rRNA from 1 species